rnacentral:rRNA from 1 species
UACGUAGGGGGCAAGCGUUGUCCGGAUUUAUUGGGCGUAAAGAGCGUGUAGGCGGUUAGGUAGGUCCGUUGUGAAAACUCGAGGCUCAACCUCGAGACGCCGAUGGAAACCAUCUGACUAGAGUCCGGAAGAGGAGAGUGGAAUUCCUGGUGUAGCGGUGAAAUGCGCAGAUAUCAGGAAGAACACCGGUGGCGAAGGCGGUGGUCUGGGCCGGCACUGACGCUGAGGAGCGAAAGCGUGGGGAGCGAACAGG